AGACACAGCCCAGACAGCCCUUCAUGGCAGGGAUUUCUGUCCGUGCAGCCAGGGCAAUGAGUUUGGGAUACUUGGGUCCAAAUAAGGACCAGGGCCAAAGGGUAUCAGUGGUGCCCCCAAAGCAAUGCAAUGUCUUCUGCCAUUUUUAAUUCUUCCUACUUGGCUUUCUUUGGAUUUUGUAUGCAGAGGCACACCCUGGGACCAUUACAGAUGAGGCUGUGGACUGUGACCUUGGGGGAGAUGGGGAGAGAAGGAAGAGGAAAUGGGAAGAGGUUGGUGAGGGUGUGAGGAGGAGGAGGUAAUGGAAGUUUAAUGGAGUAAUAAACGAUCAAAGUGGGGUGGUGUGCUUAGCCAUGGGUAGAGCGUAGCUUCAGAGGCCCAUGUGUUGGCUUAGAAGGGGCUUCAGGAUGAGUGUAGGGGAUUCAGGAUAUUUGCGGUAAACGGUUUCAAUCUAUAGAAGUGUUUCUCUGUCUCUACCUCUGAUCCCAGCUUGCUUUCCUUCAUUCCUGUAUGCAUUCACAGAUCAGAAAAUAUGAGUCCCAUGUACCAGUUCCUGGGAACACAGCAGUAAAGAAGGCAGGCAUAUUUCUGCUCCUCACAUGGCUUUCAGUCCUCUGCCUCUUUGAAGAAAGGCACUCUGAGAAGUGGAAAUUAAAUGGCUGUAGAUGAGUUGCAACAAGAAUUGUAUGACCUGCCUUCUGGGAAGGAUGCACAGAUCAGAAGAGAAGCUGUCAUGACUCAGACCAACUGAGAACACUGGCCAACAAUGCACUGGUUCCAAAGGCACCAGCUCAGUCCUGUGGAUUUGAAGAUUCUGGAGUGCUGGGGAAGGGGUAACUGGACUCUGAAGCAUUUCUCCCUUGGGAGGUUGGGCCAGCUUCAGCCAAAGCCCUGGCCAUCUGUGCAAGGAACAACACUGCCGAACAGCAUGCUUUCCUGGAGCUGUCCUCCCUGCUCUGUGUACAGACUCUUGGGACUAUGGCAACAGAUGUGGAAACUGAGGCAUGGCUAAGGAAGGCCAUGAGCCCAUCCGCCCCAGCAGCGCCUCAGAGCCUGAGUGGACUCAGGCUCUGGAGUCCAGUGAGCUCAGCACUGCAUCUGAAGGAAUUUGUUGGACAGCUUGAGCCCUCCCUGCAAGGCAGGAUCUACUGAAGAAGAAUCUGGAACUAGAGAGGCCCUGGGCUCUGUACUCCAGUGGGGGAGCUGGGGAGGGAAUGACAGGACAUCUUUGGUCAUUUCUGCUUCCUGUGCUCCCCACCAUUCCUGAAUUCCUCUGAACAGUGUCUGUGACCCCAGCCCUGUUUACCCACUGGUGUACCCCAGGGUCUAGAGCCAUCCAGGGCACACAGCGGCUUCUCAGAAAAUAUAUCUUGACUGAGGGGUGGAUGGUGCCCAUUUAUGGCGGCAUCCUGAGGCUCUAGAGCCCUUUCUGUUUCUUUUCCAGAAAGGCCCAGGGGUGGGGGUGGGGGACUUGGGAAGUGAAUGCAGUGUAUCUUCAUGUUCUCAGCCUCACUCCAACCCUCCCUGCCUGCCUCUGCCCCACCCACAGUGCCAACCCACCACCUUGCCACCCCAUCACCAUGGCUUCCCUCCCCUUGUUGAUCCUUUCUUCAUGUUAACAAGCUCAUAUUCUACCUCACCUUGGUUAUUUGCCUCAUGUAUCAAAGUCUUAAGCUAAAGGAAUAAAUCUCUAAGAUGACUGA